rnacentral:rRNA from 1 species
CUCCUGGGCUGUUCUUGACGAUGAUGGCGAAAGCUAGGGGAGCGAACGGUAUUAGAGACUCUGGUAGUCAUAGCAGUAAUUGAGGUAUGCUAGGUGUGGAGGGUGUAGAUUCUCUCCGUGCCGCAGUUAACGCGUUAAGCAUCCCACUUGGGGAGUACGGCCGCAAGGCUUAUACUCAAACGAAUCGACGGGGGCCCGCACAAGCAGCGGAGCGUGUGGUUUAAUUCGAUGCUACACGAAGAACGUUACCUGGUCUUGACAUACAUGUAGUAGUGAAGUGAAAGCGGAUCGAUCCUUCGGGGAGCUUUUACAGGUGGUGCAUGGCUGUCGUCAGCUAAAGCUUUGAGAUGUCGGGUUAAGUCCCGUAACGAGCGCAACCCCUGUUCGUAGUUAUACGUGUCUAAGAGGACUGCCGGCGGUAAGCCGGAGGAAGGUGGGGAUGACGUCAAGUCAGCAUGGCCGUUAAGUCCAGGGUUACACCCACGCUACAAUGUCCCGUACAAUAGGUAGUUAAACCGCGAGGUGGAGCCAAUCCUGUAAAGCCGGUUUCAGUUCGGAUUGCAGGCUGCAACUCGCCUGCAUGAAGUGGGAGUUGUUAGUAAUCGCAGGUCAGCAAUACUGCGGUGAAUACGUUCCCGGGCCUUGUACACACCGCCCG